UAAGUAAGCGGAGGAAAAGAAACUAACUAGGAUUCCCUUAGUAAUGGCGAAUGAACAGGGAUCAGCUCAGUGCCUAAUCAGAAUCACUUGUGGUUCUGAAAUGUGGCUUGAAGGCAGUACCAGUGGCAACGCGGACGAAAGUCUCUUGGAAAAGAGCGUCAUAGAGGGUGAGAAUCCCGUGAGUCGUUUGCAGUUUGUCACGUACGGUCUGUGUUCUAACGAGUCGCGUUCCUUGGGAUUGGAGCGUAAACGGGUGGUAAAUUUCAUCCAAAGCAAAAUAUAUACUCGAGACCGAUAGCACAAAAGUACCGUGAGGGAAAGGUGAAAAGAACUUUGAGAAGAGGGUUAAAUAGUGCCUGAAAUCGUUGAGAAGGAAGCGGAUGCCGCCGUUGCAUAUGCUGAUUGUAGGAUUGCUGCAUGCUUGUGUCUUCUGCUACUUAUACACAGACCUAGUCGUGUUGAGCAGUUGUUUGGCACUCGUGCGUGGUGUUUCCUGCUUUCAGCCGUCAGCAUCAUUGGCUGAGCGGAAAUAAUCCUCGGAUGCUAAUUGGUUCGCUAUGCGAAUUUGGUUGCUUCCUUGCGAUACUCGCUGCUCGGUCAAUGAGGAAGUGCGUUUGCUGGUCAACGAGUUGUCUCACUGUCAUUACCCUGCGCUUUUCGAUUCGUCGAGUGGCCAGGAUGUGGCUCUAAGAUUGCUCGCACUUAGUAAUCGCGAUGCUGGCUUCCAACGGUUGCCUCCGGCCCGUCUUGAAACACGGACCAAGGAGUCUAACGUAUGUGCGAGUGUGUGAGUGGCAAACUUAUACGCGUAAUGAAAGUGAGGCCGUAUGGCCAUGUUGGGGUCACCAACAACCGACCUUGAUCUUCGGUGAAAGGUUUGAGUAUGAGCAUAUCCGUUAGGACCCGAAAGAUGGUGAACUAUGCCUGAGCAGGGUGAAGCCAGGGGAAACUCUGGUGGAGGCUCGUAGCGAUA
rnacentral:rRNA from 1 species